rnacentral:lncRNA from 1 species
AUGGAACAGGGCUCCACAAGGACAUGAAUACCAGGUGGCAGGGAUCACUGGGCCAUCUCUCUAAAUCACGAAUGAAACAUUUGCAACCUGUGUCUCCCAAACAUGAUAUGUCUCAAUCAUCAAAGGAUCUACAGUGACUACAAUAACCAAGUGCUACAAAAACGCUGUGACGAGGAAUCUGAACAACAGAGAUUUGAGGGAAACAAAACACUUUCGACGAAGGUCCUGCUGCUUGUCUUCAGCUUGGUACCAAUUAGAGCUUCACUGGAGGUGAAAAAAUCGCGGCAUGUCUUCCAAGGAAAAAACUGUAACUAAAUCUAUGGCAAGUUUUUGGAUUAGAAAAAUCUAGGCUUCAUGAAGAUAAGAGCAGAGCUGUGGAAAAGUAAGACAAAGAAAUCAUCCAACAAUACAAGCAACAUACAAGAGGUUUGCAGUCUAUCAAUGAAAACUGAUUAAAUUUACAUAAGUGCUAAUCUCAGAAGAUUAGUGCAUUGACAAUCUAUAGUGUGUGCAAUGGAACUUGAAAAGAGUACUACAAGACUGCCUCCUCACCAUUUCCCAAUGACCUGUACAAUUAAGCAAACGACAUAUUCUUUGAUUGCUUGUGUGUUGGCCUGGAACACUAAAUCUCAUAGUUCAUUAGUAUGCGUUGUUAGAUGUUUCAAUUCCCAGCUACGGUGUUGUCUGGAAGAAACAGCCUCAGGAGGGUAGGUAGAUUAUGCAAACUAUGGAUUUUUGAAUGUUUUCUAAUUAAACAUAGCAAGAAAUCUAUAA